GAUUCCCCGCUCGCGACUCCCCACCCCCCAGGGCUCCCUAAAGAGGGCCACGAGCUGCGAAAGGGCGGGAAAGGCAGUUGGAGAAGAGGUAAGCGGUUACUCACUCCAUGGCUGCAGCAAGGAGAGGCGGCGGCGGCCUCGGCUGAAGAAAGAAGGUGGGAGCGGAGAGCGCAGGCGUGCCGAGGUGGAUGUCCGUCUUUUCUCUGUUGCAGAAACCCACCUUGUCCCAUCCACAUCAGGACAUCCCAGCUGGAGUUCAACCUUCAUCCCUUCUGUGGCAGUUAGGAGACUGAAUCAAGGUCCAGAGAAGGUGGAGGAAUCCUGAUACUGAGCGGGCCUCCCUCUUUCCAUUUCCAGCUUUUAGAGCUGCUUCUGCCUUCCUUGGCUCCUGGCUUUCUCACAUCUUCAGAUUCCAAAGCGCAUCACUCCAGUCUGCUCGUGUCACCACAAGCUUUCUUCCCUUCUCCAGUCAGUCAAAUCCGUCUUCUAAGGAUACUGCUGAUCAUCUUUAGGGCUCACGCCUGUAGUCCUGGCACUUUGAGAGGACAAAGAGGGAGGAUCGCUUGAGCCCAGGAGUUGAAGACCAGGGCAACAGAAAAUCUUCCCAAGGCUGCAGACACCGACGGAUUUGCUUUGGGAGCCAGAGUAGCUGCCGCCACCAGAGUCCGGAGCCAUGAGCGGGUUUAAUUUUGGAGGCACUGGGGCCCCUACAGGCGGGUUCACGUUUGGCACUGCAAAGACGGCAACAACCACACCUGCUACAGGGUUUUCUUUCUCCACCU
rnacentral:lncRNA from 1 species